GACGAACCGUGCGAACGUUAUUCGGAAUCACUGGGCUUAAAGGGAGCGUAGGCGGGCUAUCAAGUCUGGGGUGAAAUCCCACGGCUCAACCGUGGAACUGCCUCAGAUACUGAUGGCCUCGAGGGAGAUAGGGGCAUGCGGAACUGUAGGUGGAGCGGUGAAAUGCGUUGAUAUCUACAGGAACUCCGGUGGCGAAAGCGGCGUGCUGGAUCUCUUCUGACGCUGAGGCUCGAAAGCUAGGGAGCAAACGGG
rnacentral:rRNA from 1 species